CGCCCUUCAUUCACCACAUGGUUAAACCCAGACUCUACUCGCGCCACUUUCGCAAUCUUACUACGACUCUCAAACUCUCAGCAAAUCAAAAUAGUAGCACAUGGUUGCGGACUUUUACUUCCCCCCCCCCUCUAAGUCUUCGUUGAACGCGAGAUUUCUUCUCAGUUUUGCAAGAAACAGAGUAAAUGGAACCCCGCAUGCAUCUUCACCUGCUGGCCAGCACCCAUCUUAUUUUAAAGAAGUCGUCGUCUGGCCUCAAAGGAAAUGCCACAUGAACAUUUUAAAAUCACUGUAGUGUCAAAGUGCUUACAGUGCAGGUAGUUUUCUAAAAAUCUACUGCAGUGAAGGCACUUUCAGCACUGUGCUGAUAAUGUGAACUAAAGGAGUGGGUCUAUUCACCAAGCCCAGCUGGGUUGUGACUGCACUGAAUGGACUGAAUGCGACUGCUCUUGUUGACGCACAUCUGCAGGAUCUCGCCUUCUUGCUGUAAAAGGUUACUGUGGGCUUUAUGGAGCCAAGAAUCAAUAUUUGAAGAAAACAUGCAGAAUUUGUAAGAUAUUUUAUCUAGCAUUAGCCAUGAAACAAUCUUUCUUCUAGCUGAAUUUCAUGCCCAUUUGUAUCACAACAUUUGCUUUUGUUUUGUCUUCUAGUGCUUAUGCUAAGGUGCAUCUAGUGCAGAUAGUGAAAUAGACUAGCACCUACUGCCCUAAGUGCUCCUUCUGGCAUAAGGAGCUGGGAUUCUCAUCUGCCUCGUUCUACAAGUGUUCAUCUAUAAACAAACGGUAUUGUCAGUUCUCUGUUAGUUUUGCAUAGUUGCGCUGCAAGAAGAAAUGAGUUGUGCAAAUCUAUGCAAAACUGACGGGGCCCUGUGUUUCCAUCCGAAUCCUACCAAUAAUUUAAAUUCUUCCCAUAUGGCGGUCAAUCGGGUUUCCUCCUCUGCUCCGUUUAAAAAGGCAAAUGCAGGUUUCAGUAGUAUUAAAGUGCUUAUAGUGCAGGUAGUUAUGUGGAUUUCUACUGCAGUGUGAGCACUUGAAGUACUUCUAGACUUGAUCCUCAUGAGGAAAAGCUGCGGGGGUAUCUUGCACACGUGGGUCUCUGGUUAGUUUUGCUGGUUUGCUUUCAGCUUUUUAAGGUAGUGCUGUGCAAAUCCAUGCAAAACUGAUCAUAGAACUGAAAUGAGUCUUGUCAGAAAGGAUCCCUUUCUGUGCAGGUUGGGAGAGGUGGCAGUGCUCUAUGCUUAAGUGGUAUUGCACUUGUCCCGGCCUGUUGAGGACAGGGAACAGUUCUGCAUCCGUCAAGAAUUUAUCGUCCUGGUUGUAUCAAUUUCCUGUACAUGUUCUAGACAUUCAUGCUGUUCGGUCAAUUUUUGGGUUUGCUAAUGUUUGUACAUUUUUUAUGCUCUCUUAAGGAACUGUAAAAUUAAAUUUGAAAUAUAACAUGUUUAAAAUUA